AGAGUAAACAGGUCAAACAGCAAAGGCAUACCCAAGAAUUAAGCUGCAUCAUUAAAGGUUAAUAUCUUCUCAGCAUAGAAAUGCAGGUCUCUACUUUGUUCUACUCUCUACAGUUAAUUUUUGAUAACUUGAGUCGCACUGAAAACAUUAGAGCCAUCUAGGUCUUCAUCAAUUGCAUUUUCCUUAUAAAAGGUAGAAGUGUACAGAGAGUUAUUGUCAGCACUACUAGAAUACAAAUAAAAUUGGCUGAAUAUUAGAUGCCUUUCAGUCUAGUGGUUAUGGUAUGUGGACCUUUGUUGCCUGUGAAAGCUUGUCCAAAUCAUUUCCCAGUUAGCAUGUUUUAAAGGAACCCCUCAAAAUCCCCCACUUACAAUUUCUCCUUUUCCUAUUACUGGCUUUCUACCUUCAUAUCUUUGUACUAAGUAAACAUAUUUUUCCAGCUCUCAGUUUGUAUUUUCCUCACUUGUUCUACUUUUCAAAGUGUGUCAGUGAUUGAGUUUUACUAGAGUGUAAUAAAAAACUGUAACAGUAGUUAAGAUGGUGGGGUUUUUUUGUUUUUGUUUGUUUGUUUUUGUUUUUAACCUUCUCACACAGUUUGUUUCCAGGAAUCUUGGUGGCAUGGCAGGCUUAACUAACAUAAAUCUUGCUACCACCACCAUCCCAUAGCUCCAGACACAUAAAGAUGUCAAAUAAAACAACAGAUACACAGCUGACUGCAAACGAAAGGAAAUCUCAACUGCCAGAAAUGAAGAGAAAACAAAGUCAGGGUGGUAAGCCUGUGGAAUUGUCAUUGACUAGGACCCUCACCAGUGAACUGAGACUUUUAACAGCAACAGACAUGACGUGACAACUCAGGGAAGGUGGGACUGAGUCCUCUGCAGGGAGCGAGGACCCUAGGUGGUAUUGCUGCCUCAAGAAGCUGGAGCAGAGCUCUGCACAGCAGCCUGGGGGCUCCAGAGGUGCUUUUGAACCUGUGACUGGGUGGAGGAGAAGAAAAUGUCCAUAAGGAAGAGUUGAAAUGUACAUUACGGUCUUGCUCUCAGAAUAUUCAAGGUUAGCUUGAAAAUUGUGAGCACCUCCUUAAUGUGCUGGGCACAGUAAGGUGCUGGUGGUAAAGCAAUGCAUAAAACAGAAAUUUCUGCCCUCUUGGGGCCUCUUCUAAUACUGAGAAAAAAUUUAUUAAUGUAUAUAUCAGACACACUUAAAGAUAAUUUUUGAAAUGACAGAAGGAAUAAGCUAGAAUACAGCAUAAAAGAGACGGAAAAAAUGAAAAAUUAACACAUGGAAGAUCCAAUAUACAUACAUAUAUUUUUAAGAGUUUUAAACAGGAGAAAACAGAUUGGGGUGGGGGUUGGGGGCGGUGAGUCAGUUGUGAAUUGACUUAAGCUAAUAUAUUCAUGUACAACCUUUGUUAGUGUACCCACUGAACACCCACCCCCACCUCCUCCCAAAGUCUACACACUUCUUGCCCCAGAUCACCCUCUAACAGCCAGGUUAUACUGAAGCCAGUUUCACACCAACAACUUCUGUCACCAAUACGUAUAUAAACUAAGCACGAAAACAGUUCUUAACGCCUGUUCUGCAGGCUUAAGGAAUUUGUUCUCUGCCCUUUGAUAUACUCUAGCCACCACCUUGCCUGAAAGUUUCCUUCAUGAAUCAGAAUUCUGUUACCCUAAAUGAAACCUGUGCUCAUGGCUGGACAGAUGAGCUUUUAGGGAAUUGUAUUAGGGCAUCUUCCCAAAGGGUAAAGGUACAGACCAAAAUGGAUUCUUUGACCUGUUCUUGCAAGGGUGGAGUGGGAAGUGCCAUAUAGUCUUGAAAACCUUUAAUUUCAUCAUCAGGGACCAAUUUUUGAAGUUCAUCAUUCUAGUUAGCAGGCCAUAGUUUUCACCAGUAAAAAUUUCUGACAUUUAGUAUGUGUAUUAGCAAAGCAUUGUCUGUUGGUUAAGAGACAGACAACAGUACCUAGAAAAGCUUCCUCUGGAUUAUGACUCCUUUGAUGAAGAGUGUGAGCUGAUUGUCCUGGACUACUCUCUUGAUCAGAAUUCUAGCAGGACCGAAGGUGAUGGCUGUGUCAUGUGCCACAAAUGCUGGAGUAUUUAAAUGUAAAUUACAGCCAUCAACAGCUAUAUUGGAAGAGACAAGUGGCUAAGGAGUUUCUAGAAUUGAUAAAAGACAUAUCAGGAAUGAUACUUGUCUUGUAAUGGAGCCAAAGUAAGAGUGGUGCUUAAACCGUUGGGGUUUACUUUUCUUUCAGGUGUUGGCUGUGCAGGUGUCCGGUACAGUAGCUCCACAAGGUCAGUGGGGCCCCGGCCUUUUCUGUUCUUUAUGAUCCACCGUCUUCAGCAUCGAAAGAUAGUUUCAGUGCUUCUGUCCUCAUCAAAAGAUGGUUUCUGUCCUCAUCGAAAGAUGGUUUCAGUGCUUACAUUCCAGACAAGAAAGCAGGGGCAAAAGCAAGGUAUACUACAAAUAUGAUGGCAAAAUGAAGACUUUCCAGGAAAAACUAGAAUUUGCUACCAGUAGGCAUUCACUGGAGAGUGUGGUAAAGGCUGUUCUUGAAGCAUAAGCAAAAUGAUCCCAGGUGAAAUCCAAAAAUGCAGGAAUAGAUGAAAAACAAUGGAGAUGGUCAAUAUGUGUGUUGUUAUUAAUUAAAUGUGGGAUUUAAACUAUCUGUAGAAUUUAAAUGCAUCAUAUAAUAAAGACAAGGAGAGUAAAUGGAGUUAGUGCUCUGAGGUUCUAGCAAUCAGUAAGUGGUAAAAUUAAUACUGUUACUAGACUACAGUCAAGGAUGCAUGUUACAAUCUCUGAGUUAAACAUUGAAAGAAGAACAGUAGAAUGUGUAUCAGUUUUACAGAGGGUAAAGUGUAAGAAGGCAAGAAUAAAGGAACAUAGAACAGGUGGGUCAUAUUUUUAAUUGCAAAAUAUAAACGCAAAGUGAUUCAUUACUUGAAUUAAAGUUGAAAAAGUAUUAGCUGAACCAAGAAUACCCUACGACAUGCUUCUUACAAGAGACCCAACUGUAAGACCACAGAAAUGUUGAAAAUAAAUGCAUGGGAAAAGAGACAUCAGGCAAACAGCCAGUGAAAAUGGUGUGACUAUAGUUUUAUCAGACAAAUUUAAGGCAAGAAGCAUCACUUGAGAUAAACAAGGACAUUUUAUAAUGAUAAAGGAAUUAAUCCACACAAACCACAUAAUCCUAAAUAUGUUUGCGCCUAGAACAAAUGUAAAAUAUAUAAAGCAAGAAUUACACAAGAGGGGAAUUAAGUAAAUCUGUAAUCAUAGUUGGAAACUUUUUCACAGCUUUUGCAAUAUAGAGUUUUUGCAGCUGAUAGAACAUUCAGACCAAAAGCAAAAAGGAAAAAAAAAAAUCAGAAUACAGAUGAACUGAACAGUACAAUCACUAAACUGCAGCUGAUUUACAUAUGUUGAACACUUAAUCAAAAAGGGUUAAUUCACAUUUUCUUCAAGUUGUUUACCAAAGCCUUCAUUCUGGAUUCUUUAACACUGGAAUUAAGCCAGAAACUAGUGACUUAAAGAUGGCUAAAGAAACCCCCAACAGCUUGGAAAUUAUGUAAUACAUUUCUGAACAGUCCCUAGGUCAAAAAAAGUGAAAUUUUAAAUAUUUUGAAGUGAGUAAGAAUGAAGAUACCAAAACUUGUUUCAGCUAAAGCAGUGCAUGUAGGGAAAUUUAUAGCAUUAAGUGUGUAUAUGAGAAAAGAAGCAAGCCUGGAAGUCAAUGACUUAAACGCUUAUUUUCAGGAAACUAGAAAAAGAAGAACAAGGGAAAAUAAAAGUUUAAAAGUCAGUGAAAUAUACAACAGAGAAAGUCAACAGCUAAACGGUCCAUUCUUUAAAGUAAUAACAAUGACCACUACUGUUUAACAUAACAUUUAAGAUCCUAGCCAGUGAAAUAAUUGAAACAAAGGCAUAGGUUUUGAAAGGAGGAAAUAAUACUGUUUAUAGAUAACUAGUUAAUGUGCGUAGAAAAUUCAAAAUCUGUGAACAAAAUAAUUUAUCAAGGUCCCUGGAAACAAAGUCAGUAUAGAAAAACCAAUUUAUGUUAGAAAUAAAUAGAAAUUGUUAAAAUGAUACAGUUUACCCUAGCAUAAAGCACCAAAUACCUAAGAAUAAAUUUUUGAAAGAAAAUUACAAUAUUGAGAGAAAUUUGAAAAGAUAUAAUUAAAUGUAUGGAUAUGUCAUGUUCAUAACUUGGAAGGCAAUUUUAUAAAUUGUUAUCUAGCUUCACUGUUAUGCUAUCAAAAUCCCAGCAGUAUGUUGGGGAAAUUAACCAGCUGACAGAAACGCAGAAGACCAAGACUAUCCAAGAUAAAUGAACAACAACAAAACAAAAUCUUUCACCAACAUAUACUAAGACCUGUUAUAAAGCUGUAGUUAUAAUUAUGACUGUAAUUAUAUGGUUGACAUAAGAAUAGACAAAUAGAUCAGUGUAACAGAAAGCCUGGCACAAAUCCACAAAUACAAAUCUUCUGAUUUAUGACCAAAGGACACCCUUGUGAUGGGUGAAAGGAAAGAUUAUUACUAUCCUGACAAAUUAUUUUUUCAAUAGAAAAGACAUGUCGGAAAGAAAAUAUGAAUAAGGAUAGAGUUAAGAUUUUUUUCAAGACAAAUUUAUGUGGAUAAUGUAAAUUUAUGUGGAUAAAUUCGAAAUUUUGAAUAUUUUUUAAAUUGUGGGUCAUCAUGUACAUAUAAAAAUAGGUAAGUCUAAAUCUGUUUUUUAAAAUCUACUCCAAAUGAUCCAUCAGCUGUAGAUGAUUUAUAGUGUGGUGUGUUAAACCUUCAGGAAACAAUCUAAAAUACUGUAAAUACUUUAAGAGAAAUUAAGGAAGGGAAGAAGAAGGAAAAGGGAACAGCUAAUUAACAUGUCAAUCAUUAAUAUUCAUUGAACCCUAAUGACAAGCCAGACAUUCUGCUAAGUGCUUUAUAUGGACUGUAUCAUUUAGUACUACACAAUUCCACAAGGAAGGUGGCACAAAAUUAUCUUUCUUGCUUCGAUGAGGAAACUGAAAUGAAAGCUGAAGGUCUGUUUGAAGAUUCCACUGUCGGGGAACCGCAGAGCUGCAACAGACAUCCAGGUAUGUGAUCCAGAAGGAAGAAGAUUGAGAUGGAGAUGACGAAGAGAGGACAGACACUUACUCUUACCCACUCCCAGUCAUACCAGGCUAUGGGCAGUCCCCGCGCGUGAUUACUACACUCUUUUCUCUGUUCUCCAAUUAGUGCUUUUAGUGAAGGGAAAAAAGGAAUAAAAAUAACUUUACUAUAAAAAGAAAGUGUAACUGUGAGGUUAUUUGUUAAUUACCUUGAUCAGAGUAAUUAUUUAUGUAUAUGUAUAUCAAAUAACCAUGUGUACGCCUCAAGUGUGUACAGCUUUUAUUUAAAAAGAAAACAGUUUUGCACAGUGGCAGUAUCAUAGCCAAGGAGGUUUAUCUGAGGUGUGAUUAUUGCUAACUGAAAAUUUUCCCAGUCCCCCGCCAUGAUGACUUGAAAUACAGUCGGCAUUGGGAAUUUUUCACAGUCUCUACGGAGACUAGAAAGCAAACAAACAGAAACAGCACCAAGGCUGGAGACACGAGUCGGUGCUUAGGAGUUUCCAAAAUCUGGAAAAUCACAUUGACGUUUUUACUAUAAAACUAAGUUUUAGCUCUAGUUUUCUUUUUAAUGUCUAAUUUUAAAACAUUCAGCUAUAUUUGAAGAUGUUAAUACAGUUUAUGAACUACCACUGCUCCUACUUUGGGUCCUACCUCCACUUUUCACAGUUAUCUGACUUAUGUCAUAACUUUGACAUUCAUUCGCACAAAGGUUAUAGUUCAGGUGAAGAAAAAGUGUGUAUAGGAAAAUAAUUUGACAGAAAUUUCCUUUAUAUGUAAUAGCAGAAAAACAACAGAGCAAGUUCCUUCUUGUGAUAAAAUACAUAUCCUCAAAUUUAAUCUCUUUUAAGACCUUUGCUUUAAUCUGUUAGUAUCCAACACAGGUUUUAUAUUUAGUUUGCUAGAUUGUAAAUUCACUUUCCUUAUUAAGAAAGGCUGAGGUUUUAUAGUCCUGCUUUUAAAUACAUAAUUUUUAAGUCCCAGUGGUUAGCAUUAUAGAUGGAUUUCCUUUUUAAAGAGAGUCACAUAUUUUACGUAUUUCUAAUUACAUAUUUUUAUUUCUGAAAGAAGUUACCUAUGUCAUUGUCCCCCUUGUGUGUUGUGUAUGUGUACAGUAACAUCGAAGGGAUGCUUCCUUCAGCAGUGUUUGAAGUAACAGAGAAAAGUACUUUACACGAGCUUAUCACAAGAGCCUCCAGGCAAACCCAGCCUACGGCGCAGGAACUAAGAGUGGUUUUCCGUGCACGCAGGCUUGACUUGGCAGCUCUGGCUUACUCAAGUCCUGCACAUUCCAAAGAUAAGUCUGUCCCUUGACCAGCUCCUGGGAGAUAACCUUUCAGCCCUUGGAAUAUCCUGCCUCAUGUGAGUGCCUGUGUGUACUUGGCGCUGUGAGUCACAUCAGAUGAUUUAUGCUAACAGGGGUUUCUGGUGUGGGCCUGGCACCCUGCAGGGGCGGUCUGAUCUCUGGAGGAGCUGGAAACAGUAACCAAGGUUAGCCACGUGAGUGCUCCAUACCUGUAGAGCUGACCUUCAGAGAAGCCCUGGACAUGAAGUCUCAGUGAUUUUUAAAGAGAACUAAGUCAUGUCCUGGUAGCCCAACUUUCCAAAUGAAAGUGGUCACCGGAGCCAAGGGAAACCUCAUUCUGGAACUAAGGCACUGUGAGUGUUGUAACUGCUCAUUCUUCAUGUUUUUAAUAAAAGUGUUGAUGGUAACUUCCCCCGCCCUGUGUGUUUUCUGCUGGUUACCAGCAUCAGGAGGGGAUGUGAGCUACCAAAGGAGCGGAUCCCUGCACCUUCAGUGUAUCCCGCACUGCAUUUACCUGUCCAGCAGUGCUUUGAACACUUUAACCCAUAUUCCACCAGCCAGUUUUGUCAGACUUCACUUCUUGUAUUGUUAAAGCAGUACACAGGUUUUUGAUGAUCUAAAAGAAACUUUCACCAAAGUUCAAACAUAAGGCACAUGUGUGUGAACUCACCUGCUAAGCUGCUUCCCCAGCUGCCCUCUUAGUGUGGGAAGGGCACAACUAGACAGCUGCUAAAGUGAGCCCACCUUCCUGACUGUCCCCCUCUAUGGCCACUAGCCUCAGCCAACUCUCCAGUCCAGCCAUUCUUCACCACUUUUGGUUCUCCAGACGGUCCUUCUGUUUUGUCAUCCUGUGCCUUUGCAUAUGCUGCUUUUCUGUUGGGAAUGCUCCCCCACCCUCCUGAAUCUUUACUGUGAUGGCAUUUAAUUGUCCUUGAUAUGAUCUUUUCCUAGAUACCAUCCCUGCUACCCUUGUCUGGGCAUCCAGACCACAGAACUUAGUACACUAUAAUGGUUAAUUUAUUUGUCCAGUUCUCCCAAGUUGCAGAUGUGUUCUUUUUGAGGGCAGGAAAACAUUCUUAUUUAAUUACAUGGUUGGUAAUCAACAAUGUUUACUAGAUGGAUGGAUGGACAUACAGAAGGAUGGACAGACAGCAGAAGGAAUUUACCAACAGACCAGGUGAACAAAGUGUCUCAAUACCUUGAACCAAGAAGAGGAGUAGAAGGAACUGACAAAAAAAAAAAGAGAAUUCUCUUCAUAUUGCCUGUAGGUUAAGAGUGAACCUGACACCACUUCCCAGAAAAGUCAUCACUGGGUUAGUUAGCCCGAGGGAACAGUCCAGCAUGAGUCAUGCCUUCUCCCCAUAUCUAGUGCCGUGUAUUUAUAGCUAAUGCUGGUAGUUUGUCACUUGUUAAACAGCAAAUGAAAGUGAUUGCAUAAAGGCCAAGCAAAAGACUAAUGGAAAUGGUUUUAAUAAUUAAUUUUUAAAAGGCUUAUGAAUCAGUUCAGCGAGGAAGCUAUAGAAACAUUUAAGCUGAAACUCAGCUAAGGGGUACUGCUCUUUGAGUUCUUCUGGGGUUAAAUGGGGGUAAUUUGAAAGCUGGCAGGAAGAAGGCCAGUGAUACAUCAUUUUGCUUGCUGCUUUUUUUUUUUUCCUUUUAAACAGCAAACCGUAUCCUUGAAAGGAAAAGUGUUUUACAUUUGAGUGCUGCAAGACAAUGCGAGUCAAUGAAACGUGCAAUGCAACGAAUUGGAAGUUGUGUUACUUAAUAUAUAUUAUUUUACUGUACAGCACAGUUUUCAAAGUCAUUCAGAUGAUAUUUAAGCUUCCCUUUCCUUUUAGCCUAAUUGGCACAUUAUUUCUCCAGACAAUUAUCACAGAGAAGAAGUUCUAUGGAGAUUUUCUACUUAUGUUUUCCCCUUCCAUAUAUGAUUCCAUCGAUGGGUCUCAGUGAACUCUCAAUAAAAGGUUAACAACAUUAAAGUCAUACAUGCAGCAAUUCCCCUCUGUGAAAGAGAGACGGGAAGUUGCAUUUAUUGACUGUCUACAAUGUCCAAAAGACCAUUAGGCGCUUUUUCAUGAGGUGUCUCAGGAAAUCUUCACAGUUACCCUAAAAGGCUCUCCUCAUUUUAUAGAUACCGAGACAGUCUUGGAGAGAGAGGACAGGCAGUUUUCCCACUCACACAGCAUGUGGCACAGAUAGGGGUGGGGCCAGGUCCAUCUGGCUUAAAUCUCCAUUUUUUUUCCCCAUUGUUUUACUAUGUUCCAAUGACCACGCAGUCAGAAACCUUGUCAUCAGAUGUAAGUAUAUUACAGGAAGCAGAAGAAGGGCCCUAGGAUGUUAAUUUCCUUUCUCCAGCUCUUUCUUUCCUUCCUUUGGACAGAAUGAGCACCCCGCAGCCCUGGCUCCCCCGUCACUGAUCUAUUCAGGGCACAGACUGAUGCUAUAAAAAGAUGAUAAUUUACAUUUCAAUAGUAAUUCAAGAGUUUACAAAGAAUCUGCAACAUCUCACUUCACCCUCAUUUUACAAUGGAGAAAAUUAAAAUCCAAAUAGAUUUGUGACUUAAAAUCACAUAGCUAAUGAAUAGCAUAGGACUUUUAACUCAGUUCAGAACUCCUCUUCCGGAUACUCUUUCCACUACCUUCUCAAGUGAGAACGUGUGUUUUCUAUAAGGGUGACGAGGACGUCACUCUCCAGAGCUGCAUUUGUUUCUUCUCUUAUCCUGCAAAAAGCUUAUCCUUCCAAGUUGUGGAAUUUACGAGCUUCAUACUUGGCCUCACUCACAAAUCUCCCGUAGCCUGCUGUAAUUAUCUGGGUGUGCAGAUGCCAUUCUCCGUCAAGAAACGUCAAAACGAUUCUCCAAAUGGGCGUAGUGGAACAUGCGCAAUGAUUAAAUCAUCCUUCUUUCUUCCAAAUAAUAGGAAGGUGGUCCUCAGCAGAGCAAAGAGGAGGCUUAGAUUAUUCCACCCACAAAAAGAGAGUUUCCAGCCCACUUUUCGCCCUGUGACUUUUUACAUCACUGCUGCCGAAGUCCAUCAGCUCAGGAAGCCCAAGUCUUCUCCAGAAGGUGUCGGGAGAGGGGGCUGUAGCGGUUGUGUUAUCUCACCUUUACGUUUUACUUUAAGAAAAUGAAGAGGAGGGAUGGCCUUGACAUGGUUUGCCCAAAGUGAACAGCUAAUGACAGAAUGGGAAACACUGGAUUUAAAUCACAGGAGCUGGUGUUAGAGCAGCCUGCUGCUUUGGACCUCCUUUUCCAUAUCUAUAAAAUGAGCAUUGUAAUGCCACACAACGUUGGUGAGCAUGUUAAGUCAGAUGAUAUGUGGACAGAGGAACUUGUGUUUGUAUGUAAGUAGACUCAGGGGUAGCAAUUUAAAAAAGAGCUGGAAAUGUGUAUAAUAAAUAAGAUCCAGAAGUGUGAUCUAUCCACAGCCAAGAAGGUGGGUAGGUAGUGUUAAUAAAGACCAGGGGUUGGUUUAAAGAUUGCCAUUUUUAUUGGAAAAUAUUUGCUGAAUAUUUGGAACAUUGGAAUUCGGAACAAAUGUUGGAAAAUAUGUUUUAAUCAUAAUGCUUUAUUCAAGUUACAGCUUCUGCUAUUUUGAUGAUAAAGAGGGUAAAGCAAGGUAAGUCUAAAAUCUCCCGUCUCUUCUCUUUGUACCUCUCAAUAUUGAAGAUGCAUACUUUGAUGUAUUAUUAGGAUAGAAUAGACAACAGUUCUUUAUUCUAUCAAAUAAUUUUAACCAUUAGGGGCUCUGGGAGGAAAUAAUAAUAAGAGGAAUUUUCUCCUUCUGGUAUUGGAAGACUCAACCAUUUAUACCAGUCUUCCCAGGAAAACAACAAAAAACCUGCACCAAAAUAAAUUCUUAAAGAGAACUAAACAGAUGGUGAGGAACUGUCAACUGAUACCGGGGGAAAAGCAGAAACUUCGGAUGAUAAACGCAAACAUUUCGGGGCUCUUCUGCCACUUCCGUAAUAACUGCCGUCACUCAUUUUGUACGUUAAGCCAUUUAAUCUUCCAAGAGUCCUAUGAGGUAGAUAUAGCCAUUUAGCAGGUGAAGGAACUAAGGCACAUCCCCCAGUGGGUUAAGCACCAGAGCUGGGAUUCAAACCCAGGCGGUCUGGUUGCAGAAGCUAUGUCUUUAGCCACGACACCACAAUGUAUCACACAGGAAUUCACCUACGUCUCUGAAUGACCUCAAGGAGCAGAGUUACCCUGCAGCUGGAUUGGCAGACUAUUACUGGAGAGAGAAAUAAAUACCCAUUUCCUUAAAGAUUCUGUACCUUUGUUAUAACAACCCAGCCUUCACUUAACCCGUAUGUGAGAGGAGUUUGAGUCCCAGAUAGGAGAAGUUUCUACUUAUUUCAAGGUCACAUAGUAAGGAAGCAACAGAGUCAGGACUUGAACUAGUGUCUUCUGAUAUUCUAUGCAUCAUAUGCCUUCCCUUGCUUAAUUCAUGAACAUGUAGUAUAAUCUCUGCCAGAGUAAUCACUCAAGCUAGGUGUUUCUACACUCAUUUCUUUGGUACCAGGCCCAAGUUACCAUUUCCAUGGCCACAGAGACACAAUACUGUCCUUAGUUUCAGUUUAUACUAUGAAAAUUAAGUUAUCCUAUGCUGUGGUCUGAAUGUUUGUGCCUCCCCCACCAAUUCAUAUGUUGAAAUCCUAACCCUAAGGUGAUAGUAAUAGAAGGGGACUUUGGGAGGUGAUCGGGUCAUGAGAGCAGGGCCCUCAUAAAUGGGAUUUGUGCCUUAUAAAAGAGGCCCAGAGAGCUUGCUUGUCCCUCCCACCACGUGAAGACAUACUGAGAAGUCUGCAGUCAGCCACCAGGAAGAGGGCCUUCACCAGAACCCAGCUAUACCGGCACCUUGAUCUUAGACUUCCCAACCUGCGGAACUGUGAGAAACACAUUUCUGUUGUGUGUAAGCAGUCUGUGGCACCCAGUCUGGUAUUUUGUUAUAGCAACCCGGACAGACGAAGACGUUCCCCUAGACUUGAUGUAUAUGCCUUUGCUGUGGGCCUUAAUCAGAGACCCACGUAUAAAAUGUACGUUCUAAUCCUGGACUGUUAGCUUCUGAAAGUCGGGGACAUGUUUUAUUGACUUGUACGUAAUAGGGACUUUAUAAAUAUUCACUGAGGGCUAGCUGAAUGACUGAAUGAGGGAGGAAAGAGCAUGAGAACAAAAGGUGGCUCAAUUUCAGGUCACUCUCCAAGGAAAAUUUAGGAAGUGACUUCCAUGUAUGUAAACUCACACUGCACAGCCAGGGUCAAGGUCUCCGGUGUGCAGAUCGUAUUACUUAACAAAUAUUGUAAAGUUAAACAGUAGCUAAAAUAGCUUAGCUGUCGUGUGGAAUGAUUGGUUCCCGCAGCCUCACAGCACGGAGCUGCAGCACAGGGCGUCUGUUUCCCACGUGAGCUGUGAGCAGCAGCACCUGCGUCUCAAGACAGCGCUCUCCUGUGAGCAGUUAAUGACGCUCACUUGGUAAGCAGGUGUUUCUAAAAACUCUGCUUUUCUUGAUUUCACACUGCAUCCAGGUGCUGGCAGCCAUUAGAUUUCAAAAACAAAACAAAACAAAAAAGUGUACUGGUGGUUGUGAGGUAAGUUUUAUAGUCUGAAUGGUAUAACUCCUCGUUUUCAUCAGAGUACAAGGUCUGUGACAGACCUGGGUCUGAAUCCAGUUUCUCCUGCUCAAAAGUCGUAUGAUUUGGGGCAAGUGUCAUAACCUGGCUGAGCCUCAUUUUCCUCGUCUGUAAAGGAGAGAGAACACCACAGUCUCCAGUGAGCUGGUAAAUGUUUAACAAUUGGAUCUCAGGGAGAAAAAAACAAUGAUUUGUAGUGUUUGCUGAUUUUCAUGGUGUAACUUCCCACCAUGGCCUGUUUCAGGCUGCCAGUGUGAUGGCCCUGAACACAGAAUGGGAAACAGAUACACAGUGGAGUGCACCAUUAAAUGUUUCCACCAUAGUAGAUGCAGUGACCUCUAGGGCUGAGAUGACGGUAAAAUAUAGUGAAAAAAUUAGGAAGUGAUGAGUUUUAAUUAAUUAUUACUUUUGGUUUUAAUAUAUAUAUUUAGAUACCAUAUAUAUGUAAUGUAAUGUAGUUUGAUUUUUAGUAACGGCUGAAUGUAGAAACCAGUCACCAAAUUCCUAACAGUUCAACAGUUGUCCCUCAUGAGCUGCAUACCAGUUGCCGGCACCCAGCUGCCCAUCUCCAGCUCUUGGAUUUCAAAAACAGGACCGCAAUGAACAGAUUUCUCCGUGGUAUCUACCCACAUCAUAGGAUGUAUGACUGGAAUGUGACCAAGCAUUGUGCCAGAUGGUUUUCCAGAGUGGCCAUACCAGCUUAUUUUCCUUCCCACCAGCAGUGCCCAUGGGUUUCCACAUCCCCUUCACAAGAGGCAUCGUUCCGGAUGAGUGAGAUGUGGGUGGACACUGCAGUACUACGCGGCACUGGAAGCAACAG